rnacentral:rRNA from 1 species
AUUGAACGCUGGCGGCAGGCCUAACACAUGCAAGUCGAGCGGAGCGGCGGACGGGUGAGUACUGCCUAGGAAUCUGCCUGGUCGUGGGGGAUAACGUCCGGAAACGGGCGCUAAUACCGCAUACUAUCAGAUGAGCCUAGGUCGGAUUAGCUAGUUGGUGGGGUAAAGGCCCACCAAGGAGACGAUCCGUAACGGGGCUGAGAGGAUGAUCCGUCAUACUGGAACUGUGACACGGUUCAGACUCCUACGGGGGUGAGCAGUGGGGAAUAUUUGACAAUUGGCGCAAGCCUGAUCCAGCCAUGCCGCGUGUGUGAAGAAGGUUUUCGGAUUGUAAAGCACUUUUAGUUGGGAGGCGUUACCCACAGAAUAAGCACCGGCUAACUUCGUGCCAGCCGCCGCGGUAAUUC